GAUGAACGCUAGCGGCAGGCUUAAUACAUGCAAGUCGAGGGGCAGCAUGGUGCAGCAAUACACUGAUGGCGACCGGCGAACGGGUGCGGAACACGUACAGAACCUUCCUUCGAGCGGGGAAUAGCCCAGAGAAAUUUGGAUUAAUACCCCAUAGUAUAUUGGAGUGGCAUCACUUUGAUAUUAAAGAUUUAUCACUUGAAGAUGGCUGUGCGGCUGAUUAGGUAGUUGGCGGGGUAACGGCCCACCAAGCCUACGAUCAGUAACUGGUGUGAGAGCACGACCAGUCACACGGUAACUGAGACACGGGCCCGAAUCCUACGGGAGGAAGCAGUAAGGAAUAUUGGUCAAUGGACGAAAGUCUGAACCAGCCAUGCCGCGUGGAGGAUGAAGGUCCUCUGGAUUGUAAACUUCUUUUAUAUGGGACGAAAAAAGGCUUUUCUAAGUCGUCUGACGGUACCAUAUGAAUAAGCACCGGCUAACUCCGUGCCAGCCGCCGCCGUAAGAC
rnacentral:rRNA from 1 species